CCUACGGGGGGCAGCAGUGGGGAAUCUUGCGCAAUGGGCGAAAGCCUGACGCAGCCAUGCCGCGUGAAUGAUGAAGGUCUUAGGAUUGUAAAAUUCUUUCACCGGGGACGAUAAUGACGGUACCCGGAGAAGAAGCCCCGGCUAACUUCGUGCCAGCAGCCGCGGUAAUACGAAGGGGGCUAGCGUUGCUCGGAAUUACUGGGCGUAAAGGGAGCGUAGGCGGAUAGUUUAGUCAGAGGUGAAAGCCCAGGGCUCAACCUUGGAAUUGCCUUUGAUACUGGCUAUCUUGAGUACGGAAGAGGUAUGUGGAACUCCGAGUGUAGAGGUGAAAUUCGUAGAUAUUCGGAAGAACACCAGUGGCGAAGGCGACAUACUGGUCCGUUACUGACGCUGAGGCUCGAAAGCGUGGGGAGCAAACAGGAUUAGAUACCCCAGUAGUC
rnacentral:rRNA from 1 species